ACGAACGCUGGCGGCAUGCCUAACACCUGCAAGUCGAACGAGACCUUCGGGUCUAGUGGCGCACGGGUGCGUAACGCGUGGGAACCUGCCCUUAGGUUCGGAAUAACUCCCCGAAAGGGGUGCUAAUACCGGAUAAUGUCUUCGGACCAAAGAUUUAUCGCCUUUGGAUGGGCCCGCGUUGGAUUAGCUAGUUGGUAGAGUAAAAGCCUACCAAGGCGACGAUCCAUAGCUGGUCUGAGAGGAUGAUCAGCCACACUGGGACUGAGACACGGCCCAGACUCCUACGGGAGGCAGCAGUGGGGAAUAUUGGACAAUGGGCGAAAGCCUGAUCCAGCAAUGCCGCGUGAGUGAUGAAGGCCUUAGGGUUGUAAAGCUCUUUUACCCGGGAUGAUAAUGACAGUACCGGGAGAAUAAGCUCCGGCUAACUCCGUG
rnacentral:rRNA from 1 species